GGAGAGAUGGCUCAGUGGUUAAGAGCUCUGACUGCUCUUCCAGAGGUCCUGAGUUCAAUUCCCAGCCACCCCA
rnacentral:tRNA from 1 species